CCCUGAAAAGAAUAUGAUAUUAACGGUGAAAUAGUGAGAGAAGAAGAAGAGACAAAUUAGGCUGGAAGAUGAUGGAAUCAAAAGAUAAAUACAAUCAUUAUGGGAAAAUGGAAUCAAGGAAAAGACAACAAACAAUAGGAAUCGAGAGAGAAACAAUAAAAAACAAAGAAAGUACAUUAAAAGAAAAGGAAAACAACAAGAGAAAGAAAAGUUUUUAAGAUGUUCAAUGGACAAAUUCGAGGAUUGGAAUUAAUGGUUUACAACAAUUUAUUAAAUGCUGUUAUAAUUCUGUCUCAAGAUAAUCUAUUAUUUGGAGUAACAUGAUUACCUCGCUUACGUUUUAUCAUCUCCCAUGAUUAUUCAAGCUUAAUAGUGAGUUACAGAGACACACAAACAGUUAUCACCAACUCUUUAGGAUCGAUGAAGGGAAAGAGGACAAAAGACACUAAACUUUAACUUAUACAUGUUAUUGAUAUUUCGAUAUUACUUUUCAAUGGAUUGAUAGAGAAACAAUUCUGUGGAUGGUUAAAGUCAAUAUUCAGAGGAAGAUGAUGAUGAUGAUGAUGAUGAAGAUGAUGAAAGGAGAAAUGCAUUAUCACAGCUUCCGGAUAAAGUUAAUCUAUCCUCUUUUGUCUUCGUCUUCCUUUUCACUUCCUUUUUUAAAUAAUCUUAACUUGAUCUCACCUUACGAUCAUCUCAUCUCACUCAAUUACUUUCAUAAACUUUAUAUAAAGUUACGAAUAAUGAAAGUUAAUUGAAACGAUCGAAUUUCGUUUUAAUCAAAUUGAAUAAUUUAAAUGAUCAACUGACGAUUUAAUCAAACUCUACUAAUCUUAUUAAUGUAAACACAAAAUAAUCGGACUAAUUUAAUCUAAUUAAUUAGAACUAAUAAUGAGAAAACAAAUUAUUUCGUUUAAUUUAGUUGAAACAAUUAAAUGCUAGUUAAUCUCUUCAAGUCUAAUCAAUAUUAUGUUCAAUGGUUAAAGAAAUCAACUGUUUAUUUUUUUAAUUAAACUGUUAAUACAAUAAGUAAUUAGUUAAUCAAUAAUCUCAAAGCUAAAGCAAAGUUUUGAACUAAUAUUUCCGAUUCAAAUAUUGACAACUGACAAUUUGACUAUCGAUAUGAACAAAGAUAAUGAAUAAUUUUUUUCUCAAUCUCAACAAUAAUCAAGGUUAAUUGGAUCACUUUUUAAAAAGUUGAUUGCUGUUAAUUUAAUUGAAAAUAAAGAAAACUAAAAAUAAUCAAUGUGAGAAUGAGAUUGUGAUGAUUAUAAUAGUUUGUAAGGUGAAAGUAAUUUAACAAUAAAAGAGUUGAUUCUAUGAAUAAGAUAGUACAUUGAUUCAUGUGAAUUCAUUACAAGAUCAGGAUUAUCAUGAUGAUCAAUUCAUUCAUUGAUUGUGAUAAUCAAUUUGUUUUUUUCUCUUUUUUAUCCAGAAAAACCUUUUAAUAACCUUUGCCAUUGUCGAGUUAUUAUUAAAGGAGAGACUCACAUGGCGAAAAGGAGGAUCUCUCAAUGAUGGAGAAAGGAUUAAGAUGAGGAGGGAGUGAUGAUGAUGAUGGUGGUGAGAGAGAGAUGAAGACUGAUGAUAUACGGAAAAUGUUAAGACGUAAAGGCGGUGACCCGUUUAACCAGAAAACAAGCAAGAAACUUUCAUAGAGAAAAUGAAACUUUGAAUCAGAUGAAGAUGAUAUGAUUUAGAAUUGAAAGAAAUUCUCAACAUUCUCAAUGGUUAAUAUUGGAAUAUUAUAGUUGAUUCUGUAAUUGGAAUAUACAUCUUACAACAGAACUUUGUUUCGAUCCAGCUAAUUAACUCUUUCCUCAAGCGUAUUAUUAUUUUUCCAUCAUCAUCAUUAACAGUGGAUGAUAAUUAUAAUCAUAAUCAAAGCAAAAUUAUUAUGAUACUGAUUAUAAUUUGUUGUUGGUAAACCAAAGUAUCAAAUUGAUAAAAUGGUAAAUUGUUUCAACUUUAACGAUCAAAAUACUGAAUGUAUAAUAAUGAUUAGCUGGAAUAAUUUAUCAUCUAUAAAGGAUAAAAAUAAUUGGAUAAUAAUAAUGAGAG